rnacentral:rRNA from 1 species
AUACGUAGGGGGCAAGCGUUGUCCGGAAUUAUUGGGCGUAAAGCGCGCGCAGGCGGUUCUUUAAGUCUUGUGUAUAAGGCUAGGGCUUAACCUUAGUCCGCAUGGGAAACUGGGGACUGGAGUGCAGGAGAGGAAAGUGGAAUUCCACGUGUAGCGGUGAAAUGCGUAGAGAUGUGGAGGAACACCAGCGGCGAAGGCGACUUUCUGGCCUGUAACUGACGCUGAGGCGCGAAAGCGUGGGGAGCAAACAGGAUUAGAUACCCUGGUAGUCCACGCCGUAAACGAUGAGUGCUAGGUGUCGGGGUUGUCAUGACCUCGGUGCCGAAGUUAACACAGUAAGCACUCCGCCUGGGGAGUACGCUCGCAAGAGUGAA